UGCCAGCCGCCGCGGUAAUACGGAUGGUGCAAGCGUUACUCGGAAUUACUGGGCGUAAAGCGUCCGCAGGCGUCUUUGCAAGUCCGGCAUAAAAGUGCGGAGCUCAACUCCGUGAUGUGUCAGAAACUGCAAGGAUAGAGUCAUUCAGAGGCACCUGGAAUGCCAUGUGUAGGGGUAAAAUCCGUUGAUCCAUGGUAGAACGCCAAAAGCGAAGGCAGGGUGCUGGGAAUGUACUGACGCUCAGGGACGAAAGCGUGGGGAGCGAACGGGAUUAGAUA
rnacentral:rRNA from 1 species